CUACGGGACGCUGCAGUGAGGAAUAUUGCACAAUGGGGGGAACCCUGAUGCAGCAACGCCACGUGGAGGAUGACGCAUUUCGGUGUGUAAACUCCUUUUAUAUGUCAAGAAAAUGACGGUAGUAUAUGAAUAAGCACCGGCUAACUCCGUGCCAGCAGCCGCGGUAAUACGGAGGGUGCAAGCGUUACUCGGAAUCACUGGGCGUAAAGGACGCGUAGGCGGGUUGGAAAGUCAGGUGUGAAAUCCUACAGCUUAACUGUAGAACUGCACUUGAAACUUCUAAUCUAGAGUAUGGGAGGGGGAGAUGGAAUUCGUGGUGUAGGGGUAAAAUCCGUAGAUAUCACUAGGAAUACCUAAAGCGAAGGCGAUCUCCUGGAACAUUACUGACGCUAAGGCGUGAAAGCGUGGGGAGCAAACAGGAUUAGAUACCCCUGUAGUC
rnacentral:rRNA from 1 species